CCGUUAUAAUUAUGUGGUAAAUAUUUACUUUCCUCAUUCCGCCUGAGGACUACAAGCGCUAGCUUAAAACCCAAAGGACUUGGAGGUACUUCAAACCUACCUAGAGGAGCCUGUUCUAUAACCGAUAAUCCACGUUAAACCUCUCCACUCCUUGCCUUAUAACCGCCUAUAUACCGCCGUCGCCAGCUCACCCUAUGAAGGAAUCAAAGUAAGCAAAAUGAAUAUAAGUUAUUCAAUACGUCAGGUCGAGGUGUAGCGAAUGAAGUGGAAAGAAAUGGGCUACAUUUUCUUUUAAGAAAAUCACGGAUAAUAAAUGAAAAACAAUUAAAAAGGUGAAUUUAACAGUAAGAAUAAAUAAGAUUUUUAUACUGAAACCAGCUCUGAAGUGCGCACACCCCGCCCGU
rnacentral:rRNA from 1 species